CCUACGGGGGGCAGCAGUGAGGAAUAUUGGUCAAUGGACGAGAGUCUGAACCAGCCAAGUAGCGUGAAGGAUGACUGCCCUAUGGGUUGUAAACUUCUUUUAUAUGGGAAUAAAAUGUUCCACGUGUGGGAUUUUGUAUGUACCAUAUGAAUAAGGAUCGGCUAACUCCGUGCCAGCAGCCGCGGUAAUACGGAGGAUCCGAGCGUUAUCCGGAUUUAUUGGGUUUAAAGGGAGCGUAGGUGGAUUGUUAAGUCAGUUGUGAAAGUUUGCGGCUCAACCGUAAAAUUGCAGUUGAAACUGGCAGUCUUGAGUACAGUAGAGGUGGGCGGAAUUGGUGGUGUAGCGGUGAAAUGCUUAGAUAUCACGAAGAACUCCGAUUGCGAAGGCAGUUCACUGGACUGCAACUGACACUGAGGCUCGAAAGUGUGGGUAUCAAACAGGAUUAGAUACCCCUGUAGU
rnacentral:rRNA from 1 species